UACGGGGGGGGGCAAGCGUUGUUCGGAAUUACUGGGCGUAAAGGGCGCGUAGGCGGUUCGCUAAGUCGGAUGUGAAAACUCUGGGCUCAACCCAGAGCCUGCAUCCGAAACUGGCGGGCUAGAGUUCUGGAGGGGGUAGCGGAAUUCCUGGUGUAGCGGUGAAAUGCGUAGAUAUCAGGAGGAACACCGGUGGCGAAGGCGGCUACCUGGACAGAAACUGACGCUGAGAAGCGAAAGCAUGGGGAGCGAACAGG
rnacentral:rRNA from 1 species